GAUGAACGCUGGCGGCGUGCCUAAUACAUGCAAGUCGAGCGAACAGACGAGGAGCUUGCUCCUCUGACGUUAGCGGCGGACGGGUGAGUAACACGUGGAUAACCUACCUAUAAGACUGGGAUAACUUCGGGAAACCGGAGCUAAUACCGGAUAAUAUAUUGAACCGCAUGGUUCAAUAGUGAAAGACGGUUUUGCUGUCACUUAUAGAUGGAUCCGCGCCGCAUUAGCUAGUUGGUAAGGUAACGGCUUACCAAGGCAACGAUGCGUAGCCGACCUGAGAGGGUGAUCGGCCACACUGGAACUGAGACACGGUCCAGACUCCUACGGGAGGCAGCAGUAGGGAAUCUUCCGCAAUGGGCGAAAGCUUGACGGAGCAACGCCGCGUGAGUGAUGAAGGUCUUCGGAUCGUAAAACUCUGUUAUUAGGGAAGAACAAAUGUGUAAGUAACUAUGCACGUCUUGACGGUACCUAAUCAGAAAGCCACGGCUAAUUACGUG
rnacentral:rRNA from 1 species